rnacentral:rRNA from 1 species
AACCAUGCAAGUCGAGCGGCAGGCAGCAAUGCCGAGAGCGGCGGACUGGUGAGUAACACGUGGAUAACGUACCCCGAUGUCCGGGACAGCCUGUAGAAAUAGAGGGUAAUACCGGAUAGAUCACUGUUUACGUGAGGUAGACAGCGGGAAAGGAGCUUCGGCUCCGCGCCGGGAACGGUCUGCGGCCCAUCAGCUGGACGGCGGGGUAACGGCCCGCCGUGGCGAGGACGGGUAUCCGGCCUGAGAGGGCGGACGGACACAUUGGGACUGAGAUACGGCCCAGACUCCUACGGGAGGCAGCAGGUAAGAAUAUUCCGCAAUGGGGGGAACCCUGACGGAGCGACGCCGCGUGAACGAAGAAGGCCGGAAGGUUGUAAAGUUCUUUUCUGUUCGAGGAAUAAGUGUAGGAGGAAAUGCCUGCAUGGUGACGGUAGGGCAGGAAUAAGCACCGGCUAAUUACGUGCCAGCAGCCGCGGUAACACGUAAGGUGCGAGCGUUGUUCGGAAUUAUUGGGCGUAAAGGGCAUGCAGGCGGGUCGCCAAGCUUGGUAAGAAAUACCGGGGCUCAACUCCGGAGCUAUAUUGAGAACUGGCGAGCUAGAGUUGCCGAAGGGUAUCCGGAAUUCCGCGUGAAGGGGUGAAAUCUGUAGAUAUGCGGAAGAACACCGAUGGCGAAGGCAGGAUACCGGCGGACGACUGACGCUGAGGUGCGAAGGUGCGGGGAGCAAACAGGAUUAGAUACCCUGGUAGUCCGCACAGUCAACGAUGUACACUGGGCGUGUGCGCAAGAGCGUGCGUGCCGAAGCAAACGCGAUAAGUGUACCGCCUGGGGAGUAUGCCCGCAAGGGUGAAACUCAAAGGAAUUGACGGGGGCCCGCACAAGCGGUGGAGCAUGUGGUUUAAUUCGAUGGUACGCGAGGAACCUUACCUGGGUUUGACAUCUAGUAGAAGGUCUUAGAGAUAAGGCCGGGUAGCAAUACCCUGCUAGACAGGUGCUGCAUGGCUGUCGUCAGCUCGUGCCGUGAGGUGUUGGGUUAAGUC